rnacentral:sRNA from 1 species
AUAAAGAGAAAUUUUUUCCUUCAUUUCUUUUAGUACUUUUAUAAUGGUUUUUGUUUUACAUAUAUAAUCAAUCUUUAAUAUAUUUUAGUGCAUGCUUCAAUGUUGGGAUAUUGAUUGGAAUUGCAUUGAUUGUAUUGAUGGAUUUGGGGAGAAUGGAAGUAUUUACAGUAUUGUAUCUUCCCAUGUAGGAGCUUGGUGUUUGUUUCCAUUUAUUCAGAUUUUCCUUUAUGUCCUUAAGUAAAACUUCAUAAUUUUCUUCUAGUUAAGUUUAUUUUUAGAUGUUUAUUAGUACUAAGGAAAUUGCUUAUAUAUUCCCCUGAGGUUUUUUGGGUAUUUUCUUGAUGUGGUCAUGAAAUUUAUUUUUUAUUUAAUAGUCACAUUUGCUGUAUUAGGUAAAUGUGUUUAUUUUUUUUAGUCCGGCUUCCCAUCUACACUUUUCAAUAAAGCAUCCACAUACACUGUCCUGGGAAUACUACACUAUGUUUCAGUGUAAAGCCCACCUUGUGAUGAGAUUGAUUGAAAAUAGGAUCAGUAUGGAAUUUAUGCUACAAGUUUUCAAUAAACUGCUAAGUCUGGCUAGUACUGCUUCAUCUCAGAAGUUCCAGUCACAUAUGUGGAG